AUUGAACGCUGGCGGCAUGCUUUACACAUGCAAGUCGAACGGUAACAGGCCUUCGGGUGCUGACGAGUGGCGAACGGGUGAGUAAUGCAUCGGAACGUGCCCAGAGGUGGGGGAUAACGCAGCGAAAGCUGUGCUAAUACCGCAUGUGGUCUGAGGAUGAAAGCGGGGGACCAGGCAGCAAUGUUUGGCCUCGCGCCUUUGGAGCGGCCGAUGUCAGAUUAGGUAGUUGGUGGGGUAAAGGCCUACCAAGCCGACGAUCUGUAGCUGGUCUGAGAGGACGACCAGCCACACUGGGACUGAGACACGGCCCAGACUCCUACGGGAGGCAGCAGUGGGGAAUUUUGGACAAUGGGCGCAAGCCUGAUCCAGCAAUGCCGCGUGCGGGAAGAAGGCCUUCGGGUUGUAAACCGCUUUUGUACGGAACGAAAAGGCUCUGGCUAAUACCUGGGGCUGAUGACGGUACCGUAAGAAUAAGCACCGGCUAACUACGUG
rnacentral:rRNA from 1 species